rnacentral:ncRNA from 1 species
CUAUCGGCUUUAUUAAAGGCCACGAACAUAUACUAGGAGAUAAAAU